CCUACGGGAGGCAGCAGUGAGGAAUAUUGGUCAAUGGACGAGAGUCUGAACCAGCCAAGUAGCGUGAAGGAUGACUGCCCUAUGGGUUGUAAACUUCUUUUAUAUGGGAAUAAAAUGUUCCACGUGUGGGAUUUUGUAUGUACCAUAUGAAUAAGCAUCGGCUAACUCCGUGCCAGCAGCCGCGGUAAUACGGAGGAUCCGAGCGUUAUCCGGAUUUAUUGGGUUUAAAGGGAGCGUAGGUGGAUUGUUAAGUCAGUUGUGAAAGUUUGCGGCUCAACCGUAAAAUUGCAGUUGAAACUGGCAGUCUAGAGAACAGUAGAGGUAGGCGGAAUACGUGGAGUAGCGGUGAAAUGCUUAGAUAUCACGAAGAACUCCGAUAGCGAAGGCAGUUCACUGGACUGCAACUGACACUGAGGCUCGAAAGUAUGGGUAUCAAACAGGAUUAGAUACCCUUGUAGUC
rnacentral:rRNA from 1 species